GGGGAUUUGGCUCAGCGGUAGAGCGAGUGCCUAGCAAGUGCAAGGCCCUGGGUUCGGUCCCCAGCUCCG
rnacentral:tRNA from 1 species